AGAGUUUGAUUAUGGCUCAGGACGAACGCUGGCGGCGUGCUUAACACAUGCAAGUCGAACGGAGCACCUUCGAAAGAGACUUCGGUCAAUGGAAAAGAAUGCUUAGUGGCGGACGGGUGAGUAACGCGUGAGGAACCUGCCUUUCAGUGGGGGACAACAGUUGGAAACGACUGCUAAUACCGCAUAACGUACGGGUAUCGCAUGGUAUCUGUACCAAAGAUUUAUCGCUGAGAGAUGGCCUCGCGUCUGAUUAGCUAGUUGGUAGGGUAACGGCCUACCAAGGCGACGAUCAGUAGCCGGACUGAGAGGUUGGCCGGCCACAUUGGGACUGAGAUACGGCCCAGACUCCUACGGGAGGCAGCAGUGGGGAAUAUUGGGCAAUGGGCGAAAGCCUGACCCAGCAACGCCGCGUGAAGGAAGAAGGCUUUCGGGUUGUAAACUUCUUUUGACAGGGAAGAGCAGAAGACGGUACCUGUCGAAUAAGCCACGGCUAACUACGUGCCAGCAGCCGCGGUAAUACGUAGGUGGCAAGCGUUGUCCGGAUUUACUGGGUGUAAAGGGCGUGUAGCCGGGCUGACAAGUCAAAUGUGAAAUCCGGGGGCUCAACCCCCGAACUGCAUUUG
rnacentral:rRNA from 1 species